AGUGAACGCUGGCGGUAGGCCUAACACAUGCAAGUCGAACGGCAGCACAGUAAGAGCUUGCUCUUACGGGUGGCGAGUGGCGGACGGGUGAGGAAUACAUCGGAAUCUACUUUUUCGUGGGGGAUAACGUAGGGAAACUUACGCUAAUACCGCAUACGACCUACGGUUGAAAGCAUGGGAUCUUCGGACCUUGCGCGAUUGAAUGAGCCGAUGUCGGAUUAGCUAGUUGGCGGGGUAAAGGCCCACCAAGGCGACGAUCCGUAGCUGGUCUGAGAGGAUGAUCAGCCACACUGGAACUGAGACACGGUCAAGACUCCUACGGGAGGCAGCAGUGGGGAAUAUUGGACAAUGGGCGCAAGCAUGAUCCAGCCAUACCGCGUGGGUGAAGAAGGCCUUCGGGUUGUAAAGCCCUUUUGUUGGGAAAGAAAAGCAGCAGGUUAAUACCCAGCUGUUCUGACGGUACCCAAAGAAUAAGCACCGGCUAACUUCGUG
rnacentral:rRNA from 1 species